AUGCUUAGGAAGAUGUUCCAAGGUGGUUCCUCUAAGAAGCAAGGACCCAGGAUUGCUAUGCGCGAUGCUGACGAGGAUCCACCAAGAGAUGCUCCAGUACGGCCUUGCGAAUGGCCGUCGGAAAAUUUUAUGGACAGUGCGCGAAUUAAAGAAGAAUUCAAAUCAUAUUUGCGCAAUUCCGGUCUUGAGGAUUUUGAGGCUAACAAAUGCCCCCAGUAUCAUGAUCUCACAAGUUCAUUUGUGAGGAGGUUUGAGUAUUCAUCUUCGCAUAAUUCUCCUUCAGUCAUGUUUGAUCUUUAUGACAAAUCUUAUACCAUGGACCUAGAGGAUUUCACUCUUGCAUGCAAACUUCCAUCAUGGGGUAGUGUUAGGGAUCCCCCUAAAUCUGAAUUUAGAAACUUUCUUUCUAGUAUAACUGUGGGGGAAUCUAGAGAUAUAACGCAGGCUACCAUAGGGAGCAUUCACUUUCCUGCUAUACAUUAUUUUGCUCUCUUCAUCAGUAGAUGCAUAAAUGCUAAGGAUGAAGCAUGUCACAUGUGUGUCCCUGAUCUUAGCAUUCUUAGGAGUGCUGUGUUAGGAGACCAAUCUUAUCAUAUGGGAGCUAUUGUAGCUCGUAGGUUGCAGCAUAAUAGGCAUAAUGGAGAUUUCUUUGGAGGAAUUUAUGCAACCCGCUUAGCUCAUUUUCUUGAGAUAGACAUUCGUGAGGGUGAUAUGGAGUUGCCUCCUGCAUAUUUAGAUUAUGACUCUAUGUCUUCGCACCAGUUUGUCGAGAGGCCUGAAUCACCUCUCUUAUAUGGUUUAAUUUUUGAUAAACGACGUGUUUUCCAUAUUACUCUCCCUGCUCCUGCAUUCUUUGAUUCGCAGACAAAAGGAAGAUAUGUUCUUACCAGAGAGGAGGCAAAAGAGUACGAGAGGAGAGCGGAGGCAGCUCGACUCCACGCUGUAGCAGAGCAGGCGAUAACCGCUGCACAUCAGUAUGAUCCCAACUAUUCCUCCUCAUCACAGUACGACCCCAACAACUAUUAUUAUGGAUAUCCACCAGGCCAGCCGUGGCCAUAA
rnacentral:rRNA from 1 species